rnacentral:rRNA from 1 species
UACGGAGGGUGCAAGCGUUAAUCGGAAUUACUGGGCGCAAAGCGUGCGUAGGCGGUUCGUUAAGUCUGCUGUGGAAGCCCCGGGCUCAACCUGGGAAUGGCAGUGGAUACUGGAAGGCUUGAGGAUGGGAGAGGGAUGUAGAAUUCCAGGUGUAGCGGUGAAAUGCGUAGAUAUCUGGAGGAAUACCGGUGGCGAAGGCGGCAUCCUGGACCAUUACUGACGCUGAGGCGCGAAAGCUAGGGGAGCAAACGGG